rnacentral:rRNA from 1 species
GGCUCAGGAUGAACGCUAGCGACAGGCUUAACACAUGCAAGUCGAGGGGCAGCAUAAUGGAUAGCAAUAUCUAUGGUGGCGACCGGCGCACGGGUGCGUAACGCGUAUGCAACCUACCUUUAACAGGGGGAUAACACUGAGAAAUUGGUACUAAUACCCCAUAAUAUCAUAGAAGGCAUCUUUUAUGGUUGAAAAUUCCGAUGGUUAGAGAUGGGCAUGCGUUGUAUUAGCUAGUUGGUGGGGUAACGGCUCACCAAGGCGACGAUACAUAGGGGGACUGAGAGGUUAACCCCCCACACUGGUACUGAGACACGGACCAGACUCCUACGGGAGGCAGCAGUGAGGAAUAUUGGUCAAUGGACGCAAGUCUGAACCAGCCAUGCCGCGUGCAGGAUGACGGCUCUAUGAGUUGUAAACUGCUUUUGUACGAGGGUAAACGCAGAUACGUGUAUCUGUCUGAAAGUAUCGUACGAAUAAGGAUCGGCUAACUCCGUGCCAGCAGCCGCGGUAAUACGGAGGAUUCAAGCGUUAUCCGGAUUUAUUGGGUUUAAAGGGUGCGUAGGCGGUUUGAUAAGUUAGAGGUGAAAUUUCGGGGCUCAACCCUGAACGUGCCUCUAAUACUGUUGAGCUAGAGAGUAGUUGCGGUAGGCGGAAUGUAUGGUGUAGCGGUGAAAUGCUUAGAGAUCAUACAGAACACCGAUUGCGAAGGCAGCUUACCAAACUAUAUCUGACGUUGAGGCACGAAAGCGUGGGGAGCAAACAGGAUUAGAUACCCUGGUAGUCCACGCAGUAAACGAUGAUAACUCGUUGUCGGCGAUACACAGUCGGUGACUAAGCGAAAGCGAUAAGUUAUCCACCUGGGGAGUACGUUCGCAAGAAUGAAACUCAAAGGAAUUGACGGGGGCCCGCACAAGCGGAGGAACAUGUG